rnacentral:rRNA from 1 species
GUGAACGCUGGCGGUAGGCCUAACCCCUGCAAGUCGAACGGCAGCACAGUAAGAGCUUGCUCUUACGGGUGGCGAGUGGCGGACGGGUGAGGAAUACAUCGGAAUCUACUUUUUCGUGGGGGAUAACGUAGGGAAACUUACGCUAAUACCGCAUACGACCUACGGGUGAAAGCAGGGGAUCUUCGGACCUUGCGCGAUUGAAUGAGCCGAUGUCGGAUUAGCUAGUUGGCGGGGUAAAGGCCCACCAAGGCGACGAUCCGUAGCUGGUCUGAGAGGAUGAUCAGCCACACUGGAACUGAGACACGGUCCAGACUCCUACGGGAGGCAGCAGUGGGGAAUAUUGGACAAUGGGCGCAAGCCUGAUCCAGCCAUACCGCGUGGGUGAAGAAGGCCUUCGGGUUGUAAAGCCCUUUUGUUGGGAAAAAAAAGCAGCAGGUUAAUACCCCGCUGUUCUGACGGUACCCAAAGAAUAAGCACCGGCUAACUUCGUG